CUUCCGGUCUUUCUCAUAAUCGCUUGGUUUGAAGGAGAGCUAGCCUGUUCUUGUGCUGGUUGAGGGUAAUCUGAAAUUUCACCAUGGUAUUAGAAGCCUUAUGCAGUCAUCGCAUACAGCAUGGAUUUGGAUAAAGUUUGGUCACGUGGACCGAUAGGUCUGAGAACACAUCCCUUCAUUUCUGGAGUUGUAUAUUCUGGAAGUUUGCAUUUGCGUGGUGUGACCACCAUGAGGUGCGACCACUAGGAGGUGCACUUGCUUUUUGAUCUCAUGGUUAUAACUUUUUUGGCAUGCCAGCAUUCUUUCAAUCGGGCUGAAAGACAAAAGGCGUCGAAUUGGAGUGUUGGAUUUGGCAUCCGGUGGUUGUAUGGAAGGUGAGGGUACUUCCGCUGCUUUGGAUCACUUUCAAAGGGGGUCAGCCACUUUCCUCCACUGGCGAUCCUUAACGCCGUGGUCCUACAUAAGUGCCCAGCAAGAUUUUUUGCAGAUGUGGGUUUGUGAACGGUCUUCUGUGCAAGAAUUGUAAAGUUUCCCUGAGCUUAAUAAUUUGUUAUGCAUGUUAUUUCUUUCCUAACUUUCAAUAAAAACUUUACACUAUAUAA